rnacentral:rRNA from 1 species
UGCGUAGGUGGUUAUGUAAGUUAUCUGUGAAAUCCCCGGGCUCAACCUGGGCAGGUCAGAUAAGACUGUGUAACUCGAGUAUAGGAGAGGGUAGUGGAAUUUCCGGUGUAGCGGUGAAAUGCGUAGAGAUCGGAAGGAACACCAGUGGCGAAGGCGGCUACCUGGCCUAAUACUGACACUGAGGCACGAAAGCGUGGGGAGCAAACA